UGAUAUAUACAACGUUCAUGAGAAUCGGGGGUGAAAGAUUUUCAAGAUAAAGAGAGGUGACAUGGCUUGUCUUCAUCUCUGUUUACCUUCAACAUACAAUUCACGACCUCACAUUUCUCGGUUCAAUUACCGGCUGGUUCGAUGCGCUAACGAACGCCGGGAGCUCUUUAGCCGCAUUUCUCCUGUUUAUGAUAAUUUGAAUGAUUUGCUGAGUUUGGGUCAACAUCGAAUAUGGAAACGAAUGGCUGUAUCCUGGACUGGAGCAAAAAUGGGAGACAAUGCCUUGGAUUUGUGUUGUGGAAGUGGAGAUUUGGCAUUUCUUUUGUCUGAGAAAGUUGGCUCCUAUGGCAAGGUGACUGGUGUUGAUUUCUCAAAGGAGCAAUUAUUGAUUGCUUCAUCUCGGCAACAGUUGCUUUCAAGGGACUUCUACAAGAACAUCGAGUGGAUUGAGGGUGAUGCAACUAAUUUGCCAUUUUCUGAUUGUCAAUUUGAUGCUAUUACUAUGGGUUAUGGACUACGAAAUGUGAUUGAUAAGCAUAAGGCCAUGCAGGAGAUGUUUCGAGUUUUGAAACCAGGUGCAAAAGUAUCUGUUCUUGACUUCAAUAAGGGUACUCAACCAUUUAUUUCUUCUUUUCAGAAUUGCAUGAUCGACAAUGUUGUUGUCCCUAUGGCAUCUCGUUAUGGCCUUGCAAAGGAGUAUGAAUACUUGAAGAAUUCAAUCAGAGAAUUUUUAACAGGUCAUCUUGGAUAGAAGGAACUAUUGGUGACAGUUGCAAUUGAUGCAGAAAGGCCAGAAUUAAGUGGGUACCAUGGAUCCUCACAUGUGUCGUUCAGUUCCAUAGUCCUCUCGUCUAUGAAAGGGGGAUUAGAAGGUGCUGGGAGAUUAUCCUCUGUUGUUAGCAUCUGCAGCGUCUUUGCCAUUGUUGGUCGAAGUGAUGGCAUCUCUUGUGUACAGAGUAGUCCUAUUUGCACUACUCUAUAAACAUCAUUCUUUAUAUUACUGUUAUGGUGGUUAUGUAACAUUAGGUUUGGGUCAUAAAACUCCUCCACAGUCCCUGUCUGAAAUUUCUUCCACGUCUAUUUUUCAAAAAAUUAAAAAGAUAAAUUUCUUCAUUGCUGUGUAAAGAUUAAAUGGAACCAAAAAAAGAAUCAAGAAAAAGUGAGAUUCUUGGAACUUACAAGUGUAACUAGGCUAUCAGUAUAUUCUGAGGUUUUGCUCCGGUUGUUCUGCCUUCCUGUGACGAUCUCCAACAAAAGCACACCGAAGCUGUAGACAUCUGCCUUUUCUGUUAACUGGCCAUGAGCCAAGUAUUCUGGGGCCAUGUAUCCACUGCACAUAUAUAAUUGAAAUUAUCGCUUGAUGGAAUGUGUAUAUAUAUAAGAUAAUGUUAUGUUCAUAUGUAAAUAUUCAAAUGAAACAUUGCAAGUUACUGGAAUUCAUGUUCAACUGACUGACAAACAAUAGAUAUACUCACAGUGUUCCUGCAAUGGCUGUGCUGAUGUGACUCUUAUCUUCUUGGAAAGACCUGGCCAAGCCAAAAUCUGCAAUUUUAGCACGGAAUCUUGAAUCCAAUAAUAUGUUGCUGGCCUUUAUGUCUCUGUGAAUGAUCCUGAUCUUCGAGUUUUCGUGAAGGUACUUGCCGAAUAUAAAACGAUCAAGACUCUUGUUUGGCAGGAAUUCAUAGACAAGAAGGCUUUCAGGACCAGAACAACUGCAUCCCAACAACCUGACCAGAUUUUUGUGCUCCACAGUACUUAUGAUGUUAACCUCAUUGUAAAAAUCUGCUGCUCUGUGUCUGUUGUUAAAGAAAAGUCUCUUUACAGCAAUCUCUCUUCCAUCUGGCAACACUCCCUGAUUGAAAGAAAAA